GAACAGACGGAAACGACUGCUAAUACCGAAUAAGUUCCAAGAGCCGCAUGGCCCAUGGAAGAAAAGGUGGCCUCUACCUGUAAGCUAUCGCCUGAAGAGGGGUUUGCGUCUGAUUAGCUGGUUGGAGGGGUAACGGCCCACCAAGGCGACGAUCAGUAGCCGGUCUGAGAGGAUGAACGGCCACACUGGAACUGAGACACGGUCCAGACUCCUACGGGAGGCAGCAUG
rnacentral:rRNA from 1 species